GGGGCGAAUACUUAUGCAAGGCCCUGCAUACUGAUAUCUUCGAGUCAGUAUUAUUUUCCACUGAGGGUUGGCUGAAACGAGGGUUUUUCCGCAGGUGGAGCAAUGCGAGAACAGAUAGAGCAACUGCGACACACGACACUCCGAGGAUUUAAACUUGAAGCACAUCCUGCCUCUGCUUUUCUCCAGCUCUUGAAACAGGGCGGAUGUGUAGAUGUUGAAGGAUAAUGUCGGGGAAUAUGCAGCUCAUUCAGUUCGCACGGAUUCUUCUGUGUCUCGUGAUUUUCAGGGACCUUUGGCACACAUAUUCAGGUACAUUGGCUAUUUCCCCGGGAAAACACCCAACUUUAAUCACCACUGUCAGGGAUGCCGACUUGCUAUAUGAGCCACACACAAUUUUAUGGAGAUACUAGAGAUCCUGAUCCUUUCUGCUCUCCGGACCUGCCUGAUCCGUUUCGGAUGUCCUGCCUCUGGAUGGAGCUCUCAUCUACUCCAAUUCCAGAUUGCUGGGACUACGGCUGCCUCUAAGGCCAAACAGACUCCAUAUAAAUCCAUAAUGAACU
ensembl:lncRNA